AAGACAAAAUCUGUAGCACCUCUCCUUACCAAGCUAGCAUCGAGAGAAAACAGAGAGAGUGAGAAGAGAGCGAAACUGAGGAAGUGAGAGCAGGGGCUUGGUUGGUUCUUCACCAAUUAACCCAGGGACAAGAAGAAAUAUCGCAAGGAAAGUAAGGGAGGCUGGAGCUAACACUCGAGGGAACAAAAGUUGGGAAGAGAAACUGAUUACGUCUGCAAUUCCUAACACUUAAGGCCAGAGGUAGUAGCUGUGAGCCAGGAAUCGAACCCGAAGCUCGAGAGUAAUUUAUUUGGGUUUUGGAGGAGUUCGUAUCCUUUUGAAAGUGGUAUCCCAGGAGGAGGUGAAGUUUGAAGGACGACCGAGUAGAGUUAGAGUGUUUUGGGAGGUCUAAUGUUAUAUAUUGAUGUUAAGACCUGCAUUUGUAUCUCUUAAUGGAUAGAUUUAUAUUUUACACUGGUUGGUGAUGUACUUGGGUGAUGUACUUAAGAAUGAGCAUUUGGAUGAUUUAUUUUUGUAAUUUGUAGUGGACAAAGCUUUUGUCUUACUAAGAAGUAUUAAGAAUGGAUGUUGGAUGAUUAAUG